rnacentral:rRNA from 1 species
ACGGGAGGCAGCAGUGAGGAAUAUUGGUCAAUGGACGGAAGUCUGAACCAGCCAAGUAGCGUGCAGGAAGACGGCCCUAUGGGUUGUAAACUGCUUUUGUCAGGGAAUAAAAAGGAAUACGUGUAUUCCAUUGCAUGUACCUGAAGAAUAAGGACCGGCUAAUUCCGUGCCAGCAGCCGCGGUAAUACGGAAGGUCCGGGCGUUAUCCGGAUUUAUUGGGUUUAAAGGGAGCGCAGGCGGCCUUUUAAGCGUGUUGUGAAAUGUAGGGGCUCAACCUCUGCACUGCAGCGCGAACUGGAGGGCUUGAGUCCGCGGGAAGUAGGCGGAAUUCGUCGUGUAGCGGUGAAAUGCUUAGAUAUGACGAAGAACUCCGAUUGCGAAGGCAGCCUACUGUAGCGGCACUGACGCUAAAGCUCGAAAGUGUGGGUAUCGAACAGGAUUAGAUACCCUGGUA